CACCCGAUAACUUAAAUCCAAGUGUAGGUCUUUUAAACCUAAAAUAGUAAUAAUACUUCUGGUGA
rnacentral:tRNA from 1 species